GCGGGCAUUGUUUAGUGGUAGAACCUCAGUCUUCCAAGCUGAUGGCGCGGGUUCGAUUCCCGCUGCCCGCACCA
rnacentral:tRNA from 1 species